UUAGUACUCCCUCCGUCCGAAAAUACUUGUCAUCAAAAUGGAUAAAAAGUGAUGUAUCUAGAAGUAAAAUAUGUCUAGAUACAUCUCCUUUUAUCCAUUUUGAUGACAAGUAUUUCCGGACGGAGGGAGUGUUAA
rfam:Triticum aestivum genome assembly, contig: Triticum_aestivum_CS42_TGACv1_scaffold_330001_4BS